UGUUAGGCACGUUUUGCACAUGCCUUCCAUCGUUUUGUUCGUUUACCAGUUCUGUCUCGCGAUUCAUAGUCAAAAAGAAAAUAUUAAGUAGGCUGAGAUAUGUUAGUUUAAGUUAGAUUUGUGUUGUUUAAGUUAUCUUUGUCUUCUGUUCUGUUGAUUCGAAAGAACGAAAUACGAAGCGAACGAACGAAAUACGAACGAAAAUACGAAGCAAAAUUGAAGAAACGAAACGAAAAGGAAACGAUAAAUGCAAGUUGUCGCCCAAGAGCCUGAGCCGAAACAAUCCAAAACCAGUUGGAAUACAUGGACUAAUUUGACAACUGUGUAUUGGAGGGCGGCGGCGACAACAGUUUUGGAUUGUUACUCGACCGAAAUCAUGAAGUAAGCGGACGACGAGAAGCUGAACGCAAGGUACCGAUCAGACAAGCCAGAACCAUGAACAGAGCAUUAUUUACUCUGCCGUUUGCUCGAGUGAACACUGUAUCAUCCGGCUUGUUCUCGCGCAUCCCACGCACUGUCAACCACUUUCUAGGGUCUG